rnacentral:rRNA from 1 species
UACGGAGGAUCCAAGCGUUAUCCGGAAUUACUGGGCGUAAAGAGUUGCGUAGGCGGCAGAGUAAGUAGGUAGUGAAAUUACGGGGCUCAACCCCGUGCCCAUUAUCUAAACUGCUCAGCUAGAGAAUGAGAGAGGUGGCUGGAAUUUCUAGUGUAGGAGUGAAAUCCGUAGAUAUUAGAAGGAACACCGAUGGCGUAGGCAGGCCACUGGCUCAUUUCUGACGCUCAGGCACGAAAGCGUGGGGAGCGACCGGG